UUUGUCGGCAGAUCAAAACAAUGAAGGAACUGUACUUACCUAAACUUCAUGAAUUGUAUCAGAAAAUUGCUGGCAAAUUACAGCAGCUUACUCGAUCGUUUAAUGAAAGCGGUAAAAUCUAUGUCACCUAAGGCAUUGAGUGCUUCUGUCAGGGACAUUGGCUCUGUUGUCAGCAUGGUUGGUCAAAGUUGAGUACUAUAUUACUCUCUUGCAUAUCCUCAAAGUUGGUCAGCCAUAGAUUUUGAUGGCUAGAAUUUGCCACUGAUAUGAAUUGCUAUGUGUUUUCUGACUUUGGAUUGAAGUUUUAGUGCCAUAUUGUGGAUACGUUCCUCUGUUUUCAUGUGAUUUAUUUUUUAUGCAUCUGUUUUAAAUUUCAAUUCUAUUAC